UCUGGGAGUAAACGGGUGGUACCCGAAAGUUCGAAAGGGGAGAUUCAAGUCUCGCCGCGCGCCGGGCGGCGGACGCGACCAGAGAUGGCGUUUUCGCGAUCGGGGGGCAACUCCCGUUCCGGAGGCGCCACUCCGCGGCCGCCGUCUGUCCCGGCGUCGGAGUGACGCACUUCUCCCCGAGUAGGACGUCGCGACCCGUCGAGCGCCGGUCUAAGGUCCCGGGAGGAGUCUGUGCAGCCUGCCUGUGCCGGCUGCGCACGACCCCGGGAUUCCCGGCCGGGUGCACGACGGUACGAAGCAUGGAAGGAGUCGACGCGCCACUCACGUUGGCGUCCGGCCCUCCGCAAGCGCCCGCGGGAGUCCGGGUUGCGGGCCCGGCCCGAUUCCGGUCCCUCCGCGGGGCUGUUUGCGACUAGGAGGUGCCCUCGGACGGCGUUGAUUCUCCAGUCGGCGACGCUAGAGCUUGGAUGGCCUACCCGACCC
rnacentral:rRNA from 1 species